CGCUGUCAUCCUCCGGUUCUUCUCGCUCCUUCCGGCCGCGGCUCUGUCACCCCCGGUUCCUUCUCGAUUGCCUAGGUGUCUCGAUACGCGCCGGUUCGUCGUGCGCUGGCGCCGGCGGUGCUAUCCCUAUAUAAGCGUUUCGAAGCGACCGGAUUUCUGCACCUCCUCUAUCUCGAUGGUGGAAUUAGCAGGUGCGCUUCGAUGGCGGGCCAUCUUGCGUGUUUCUGUGUUUGCUGGGUUGUUUAAACUUACCGAAGGGCAUAUUCACUCUCAGUUUAUAUGGUGCUAUCGCUAUAUAUCACUCUCAGUUUAUAUCUUCUACUUGCUUGGGAACAUCAAUUGUUUAAACUUACCGAAGGGCAUAGUCUUAGAUAUAUCUUCUUUUGCCUUUGUAUUGUAGCUUUCUUGUUAUAUUUAUUGCUUAUGAUGUUUUGGAACUGCUCUCCAGUAUGCAGCUGUGAUUCGUAGAGGCUGCUAAUUGUUUUGGUUGUCGCUUCCAUUUUUUAUGACAUGAAGAUUUGUGAGCUUAAAUAAUAUUGUAAUUUUAGCGGCCACAUAUGACUAGGUGAAGGCAAGUCUCGAUUCGUUCAGUUCAAGGUUAGCCCAAUUUUUCAGUAAGUAUAUGAGAAUCAUGAGCCAUCUUUAGACAUCUUCCAACAUUGCAGACUUUUAUUGAUAGUCUUGGUCAGAAAUUAAUUAGGUAUUUGCACCCACCGAUGCCACAAUGUGCAAUGACAAAUUUUUCGCUUAUUCAUCUCAUACCCUGUAACGAAGUCUGGUUGUCAAUUGGUCAGGUAUACACAACAUAAAUUACUCUUUAUCACCUCAGUGACAGAAGCAAAUAGAUUUUCAGUUCACCUGUUUAACUGGCAUGUUUCACAAUUUGUUACAGAUUGGUAAAUAUCCCCACCUUCCAUAUGUUGCUCUUGGUGGCUGUCUAGGUGCUUCUUCGUUUGCGCCGGCGUCAGCCAAUUUGCUUGCUUUGUUCCUUCCUGCCAUGGUUCAUUCCACUGGGACGUCAGGCAUUAUGCAGAGAAAUUUCUCUGUGCAUUAUGCAGAGAAAUUCAAUUAAAGUUCUCAGUCCUUUCCAAAAAAAAUAUUAAAGUUCUCAGUGGAAUUUCCAGGAAAUAAGCUAUUCCUAAUCCUGGCUCCUGUGUUCCUCCUUGGACUAUUACCGUCAACUUACCACUCAGGCCAGCGCAGCUUGAGGUAGUGUUGGAACAUCUUCCCUUCUGCCUAGAGUUGUCAGAUCAAACGCUAUGAUUACUCUGCAAUGAAAAUAUCCGAUCGAAUCAAGAACAAAAGGACAAUUAAAUUUAUGCGGGUCACAAAGGAAGUAUCCUUGCUCCUGCUCCUACAGAAAUUUGAGCAGAUCAUUGUGUAUCAUUUGCAGUGACCACAGGUUUCUUAUAGAAUUGUGCUCUAUUUCAGUUAGUACAUUUGCUUGUUUAAUAAUUUUGCCUAUUUUUUGUGUCCCUUCUAGCAGUAACUGAGCUAAUAUAUUUUUCUAGGCUCUUUAAAAAAAAUUCAUCAAGAGCCCAUAUAAAAAUUUCGUUAGUGUUUAUAUUGAAAAAUUAUAUACAUUUCCAUCGAUCUAUACCCAGUUUUUCUUUGUAAAGUUGUUGGACCUGCUAAGUGGUGAAAUUUUGGUCAUUUGCAAGCAGCUUAGUUCAGCAAUAGUACCCAGAAGACUGGUUCUGAAGCUUGAUUCUUGGCAUUUGAGCCUAGAAGAUAGUAUGCAAAACAGAGGACCUGAUGUGUUUACAUGAUACAACACUAUAGUUUCUGAAAUUGUGCAAAUUGAAAUUUGAGUACUCGAGAGAUAUGGAUAAAAAUGAGGAGAACUUGGAAAGAAGCAGCUGCAAUUUUACAUCUUGUGACUUAUUUUCUGACAGUUCAAAGUAUCCAUUAGACUGUGUUGUGUUUAUUUUUUUGCAAGACUUAGAAAUAUGUUUAUCACCACUCGCCAUUGGAAUGUCUUUGUACUGCACUUGCCGCUAAAUUACAUUCAACAUUUAUCAAUAACUAUUGAUAUAGUAAACAUACAACUUAAACUGAUUCAAUAUAGUUGAUUCUCACAUGAAUGUUUCCAUCUCCAUGAUAAAGCCACAAUCCGACUCUUUGAGUUUGGUUGAUAAUUUUGUUUUGUUAAGAAUGUGUUUUUUUAUUUCCCUCAUGUGGUUUUAGAGUGGUUAUCUAUGCUUGCAAGACAAGGAUCUAACCGGGCAAUGUAAGAGUAAGGAAAUGUGAAGAGUGUAGCCAAAUAGAAAUGCUAAUUUCACCUGUAGAGAGUCAUGUGAAAGUUGAUAUUUUGUGGACAUAAAAAGGAAGUACCUUGAUCCUUAGGAAUAAAGGUCUUCAAGCACCUUGAGGAGGAGCAGAUUCAUGAUGGAACAUUUUCAGCUUCUAGGUCGGUAUCUUCUUUCAG
rnacentral:lncRNA from 1 species